rnacentral:rRNA from 1 species
AAUCAACGCUGGCGGCGUGCCUAACACAUGCAAGUCGAACGCGAAAGGGGCUUCGGUCCUGAGUAGAGUGGCGUCCGGGUGAGUAACGCGUGGGUAAUCUACCCUUGGGGUGGGGAAUAACCAGUCGAAAGAGUUGGCCGUAAUACCGCAUAAUGCAGCGGCUCGACAUCGAGACAGUUGUUAAAGCAGCAAUGCGCCAGAGGAGGAGCCUGCGUCUGAUUAGCUUGUUGGCGGGGUAACGGCCCACCAAGGCUACGAUCAGUAGCUGGUCUGAGAGGACGGCCAGCCACAAU